GCCGUUCUCGCUCAACCCGUUUAGCUUGUUACGGCGUCCCGUCCCGCCAGGGGAGCUGGCGGAGGGACCUGCAGCUUUCUCUCCCUUCAGCUCUUUCUUCUGGCAUUUCUUAGCUCAUCUAAAUGAAAGAUUCGUGCAUGCGACAAACCCUGGCGCUACCUGGUCCCAGAAGCAGGCUGAGAUGGAGAAGCAGAAAGGAAGAAGCCCUUUCUGGGCUCAGGGGAGCCACCGUGGGAGCUGGAGGCUUGCCCCAUGGAUCACACCAACCCCGGGACCGAACCACCGGACACUCCUGCGCGUCGACGUGGCACCGGAGCCUGGACGAGGACCUCCAGAGCCUUCGUGCUGACCAGCCGCCAGCCCCGUGUGCUCAGAGCUCAGCUCCUGAGACAAAGCCUGCUGUAUGCCAUUACUCAUCUCCAGGCUGCCAUCAGAUAGGUCUUUAAUUCGGUUUUAAUUAAAACAAUUCCUUCCUUUUUCCUUUCUCGAAAUGGUUUGCAUUCUGUCUGGAGCGUCGGGGUUGCCAAGAGCCAGAGCUGCUACGUCAGUGUUGGGCUGAGGGCUUUAACAGGAAAGUGAGUGCAGGCGCUGGUGCUGGUGGGAUACGGAGGCAAAGGUCUGUGGGACUGGCUCUGCGCUGGAUACAUUGCUCAGCAGGCACGCUAGAAAGGAAAUAGAUUAGCCCCUGAUUUACCUGGGAGGACAGAUAUUUCUUUUCAACUGGUUUUUAGUUUGGAGUCAGUUUUCAGGAUGUUCAGAUGUCUGCGAGAUAAGUAAUCUGUGUUGCACUUCAGUCAAACAGGAUUUUCCUGCCUUUGGACCAGCAAAACUGUGUUUUGCAAGUGGAUGGUCCAGCUGACGAGGUGCUAAGUGUGUAGAUCAUCACCAGCACUACACCAGGUAGCCUCGAGGGCAGACCCAGCUCCUCCUAAAACCAACAACCAGCACCAAGAUUGUCCACAACUUCCAGGAACUAUUUCAGAAAAAGAAACUGUCCUGGGGCAGGGUCAAGGGAAAAACAGAGAAACAAACACAAAAAAAGGGCCACAUGUCAUGCUACAGCUACAUCGUAUGGCUACACAUGUUCCUUUUCCUCAGGCCAAAGAGGAAAUUUGAUGACAAGGGGCAUGUUUGGAGCAGACACAAACACUGGCUUCUGGCUUUCUGAGCACAAGAGACUUCUGACUCUUGGAACAGUCUCCAGAGCCCUGAAAUGCCAGAUUUUACUAAAGAAAAUGCCACAAAAGAGCCUAUAGCAGGUUAGGUCAGACAGGUUUAAUAUAGGAAUCUGCUCCCCAGGGGAAAAGAGAGAAGCAUUUAGGGCCCCAACACGGGAAACCCGAGUUAAAUACCUUGCUUUGUCACCAACCAUGCAUCUUCAGCAGUGUCUGCAGUGCUGUAGAGGAACAGCUUCACGCCUAGCCUUGAAGUCAGAUUUAUCAUCUGCCACCCCCACCUUCAGAGCAACCCAAAAGCCCAGGUGCACCCGCCCCUGCUAGCACUAGAAGGAUGCUUUUUCCUUCAGCGAUGAAGGGCUCAGCAACCUCCGUCUGUCCUCUCUGCACCAAAGCAAUGCUGUGUGUUAGCCACUGCGCAGAAAAGACAGUCGAGGAGGAGAAGGGCCUGGCACCACUUGGCGCAAGAACAGGGGAUCCACAGGCAGGGGAAAUGCAAACGUGACGUGAUGGGUUUUGUAGUGGCCUUGUCUUCAGGACACUUCCACAUCCCAGAAUCAAAGAAUCACAGACAAAAUAGUGACACUGGCCCAGAUGGCAUCUAUGCAGAAGUGGGCAUCGAGCAAAUGGAGAAAGCUUGCAAAGAGGCUGAAGAAGACCAGGUGGGGCAGAGCUGUGCGAGUGUCCCAGUGCUGCAGCGAUGUUAGGACACAGAGAUGUCUUAGUGUGGGACCCUAGCACAACGGAUGGAGGAUCAGAAACAUGUGGGAGAAGCACAGCAGGUCCCUCAAAAUAUCAGCCUUUGGCAGGUUUCCUGCUGGCUGGAGGUCACUGAGUGCUGCUGAAAGCUCUGCAGUCCUCAGGGCAGGUGACCAGGACACUGUCAGCUCCAAGACUGCCGCAAGGACCGCAGCAAUGUGAGGGAGCCUGUGGCUGUGGCUAGCAUAUCUAUGAAUGGGCUACAGGCAGACACCAUUUAGGCAUCAAAAAUAAAAGCCUAACCUUAGAGCACAGCCUGUAGGUAAGGGCUAGCACUAGAGUAGGGGCUACUGGAAGCUCUAUCACAUUUUAUAGUGAUAAAACGCUAUUAUGGCAAUAAUGUUGCUUCACCUCUCCAGCACAAGGAGCCCUUCACAAGCAGUCUGUUUGCACAAGAACCUCUGCUGCAGUUUCCCUUGGGAUCUUGCCAUCCUUGAGGGUUUCCCAGACUCCACUAUACAUAGCCACAUCUGCCCUGAUGUGUUAAUGAUAGUCCCACUGCAUGCCCACGUUGGACCAGAGACCCCAUAGGGCUUCCCACCAACACUUCUGGGAUUUAUGCGUGUCUCCUGAACUGAUCUCUCUGACACAGAUGCCAGGCUUCCAGCAGGGAACAGCUGGUCUUGCAGCACCCAAAGUUACUCCUGUCCCACCGCAGCAGCUGGAUAAAGACAUUGCCCCAAGGGGGUCAGUCCCCCCGGGCAGUGGGGUGCGAGAGAUGGGAGAAAAGCUCCGACAGCGGGACCCUCGCUGCCACCACAGCCCUCAGCACUGCCAUCCGCUGAGAGAUGUCGUCUGGAUGCAGCCUUGGAAAUAACACAGAACUGGCAGAAAGCCAGCGUAUUUUGGAGCGCCAAGGAUUUAUCUUUAAAAACAACAAAGACCACAGGCCCGCUUUGCUGGAAAAUACCUGCUCGGUCCCGGGAUCCUGCAUCCUUUGAUGCUCAACUGGUAGAACUGGGCAUCCGUCGGGAGGUGAAUCGUGUUAUCUGACAAAGGGGGAUUAUGCUGUGAAAACUGCUCAUUGGGGAUUGUAUAUUAACAGGAUAUGCUCGGCUAGUUGACAGGAAGCAAUAAAGUAAUUUGAAGGAGACUGGGAGAGAGUGUGUGAGUUCCUGCGUCUGUGUUAAAUCACAGCAUUAGAUAAGCAAACAGUGGAGCCCUGGAGCCCGGCGCGGGGAGGAACGCUGCCAAAAGGGAGUUGGCCAGUGUGGUGAGCGGAGCCAAAAACCUCGGGGAGCUGCUGCGAGUUCAGCUUGGAUGCAGUGCGGAGAGCAGCAGGAGCGCAACCCUUCCAGCCCCCGCGGGCGCUCGGGCCUCGGGUUUUGCGGUGGGCAGCUGGGCAGGUCCUGUCCCCUGUCACCCCAGCUCUGCACGCAUGCUCGAGUGGAGAGAGAGCAUCGCUCAGCACCCGAGAGACCCCAGCGCGUGCUUGCACCAGCCCAGCCCCCUGGUCUUUCGGGGGCUCCAGGAACGAGCUGCCCCUCCCAGCAGAGCCAAGCCUGGAGGAGGGAGGGGAGGAGAGAGUCAAGACAAGAAAUACGUGCAAUUGCAAGAAACAAGGCUGCAAGAGCUGCUGAGUGGGAUAUGAGCUCUGCAAGAGCUACAAGUGUGUUGGUGCUUGAUGGACACUGAAGACAUGCUCUCUUUAGAGUAACAAAUAAUAAAAAAGCAGAUACCCUGCUUUCCACCACAGACAGAAGAAAGUCCAGUCCUGACCUUUGUUGCGUGUUGAACCUUUUCUUCUCAUGUGUUAAGGAAUCCUACCUAUGCAGACAGCCAGGAAACUUCCCUUGGCAAUGGAUUAUGCCCAAACUUCAUCUCAUCCUGAAGUGUCUAAUGCUGUGAUUCACAGAGAAGGGCACCUGGUGGAUAGAGCACUGGUCCAGUGCACAUCAGGCACUCCUGCAUCUGACCGAGAUGUUCCCCAGGGGAUCAGCACCGGCAAAGUACUCAGCGCCAUGCAGCUCUGCAGUGAGGCUUCCCUGGAAGCUGAGGACGUGGUGCAGUUGGACACCUACAUUCACUGGAAAACAAGGUCUUGAUGGUGCUUUUCGUGAGGUUGUAUUUCAUGGGGUACAGACAUCACCAGUGCUCCCAGUCAAGGAAGCAGCGGUGAAGGGGACAGGACAGUGGUAGAUCACUGAAGUCAAGCCAAGGACACCGAGAUGGGCCAGUGUCCACACACACCUCUUUUCCUUUUUCACCAUUCCCUCUUUGAUGAGUGCUUGUCCCAGUCUGGUCCACCAGGCAAUCAGCACCUUCAUGUGAGCUUUGAACAGGGCUGCGGUCACAAGUGUUUAUGUGCGUGAGCACUCGGGAUGAUGCAGCCCCUGUCUGUGGAGCGGGGCUUCCUCUCACUUUGAGCCUAAGUCCUGGAGAAGUCUUCCCUUGUUUGCACUCACCCCCAGCAACUCUGGUGCUCAAAGGAGAGAUCUUCUGCCUGAGCAGCACGGGCAUCAGAGCAGGCAGAACAGUUCAUUAGUGUUAGAGCCGGCUGCGGUAGCAUUGGACUUGGAGGGCUCUAAAGCCACUUGCUGGCACUUACACGAGAUGCUCUCCUAAUAUCCAGAGCUCAGUCCUCCUCAGCCAGCCGGGAUAAUUGCAGCCUCCACUCACCCGAGCUGCCUGAGCUUCAGCAAAGCAAAAGGCAUGCAAAGCAUUCGGAGGGCAGCAGAGGCAGCGCAGGCUUUCCCUCCCUGCUCAUCCCCCAGGACUGCUGGUUCAAUGGACAUUUAUCUCCUAGGUCUCUCCCAUCUUCACGGAGAGCUGGAAAAGAGAAAACACUUCCUUUCUCUGUCUACGGUUCUUAGUGACCUUGUUAUGGUUGAAUGCAUCGGUCAUAGCACAUCCCUGUCUGCACAUCUCUCCAUGGGAGAGAGCAGAACAGAGUGUGUGCGGUGGAAGAGGAGAAAUGUAGUUAUGCCAGCUCACUGGGAGAACAGCUCUGUGAUUUAGGGACGCACUCUUCCACUGCCAGAAGUUCCUCUGCAGGGUAGGAACUUGCACAAAAUGCAAGGGAAGUAAAGUAAGAUGAGGUGAACUGAAGUGAAACAGCAUGUUUGUUUCUCAGCUUUAGGGAGUUUCGAGGCUACCUGUAGGGAGCAACGAGGUCUGGGACCAUAGAUGAGAAUAUGCAGCCUUCAUUGGCUUAUUGAGCCUUCCAAAGUGCAGGUUUAGCUGGGACAAGAGGAGCUGCCUAAAGCUAAGCCAGCUCCUUUCUCCAAGAGCAAUCGCAGGGGAGCGAGCCAUGGCUGUGGGUCCCCAUGGGGGUCUAACCUCUUGCUUUGGAUGUGAGGUGUUAUCGUGCACUCGGAUGGCAUGGGCAACCCGAAGUGAAAAGCAGAUACUCCCUGGAAGGCAGUGUCUUCUGUAGCUUGGUGGGCACUGCUGCCGGCAGCAACCCAGGCACAGGGAAGGCUUGCAGAGCUUUCCUUCCACACUUCAAAGGGACCAGGCUGUGCCAGUGAACCAACCGGCUAUCUGGGUUUGAGAGACGAUGCUGCAAACUGAGGUCAUGCAUGGGGCAGCCUGUCAAAACGGCAUCACUCAGCAGAAUGAUGUGGGUGUCCCACGGCACCUUCCAGGCAGGGAGUUUAGGCUUCACCAGGGAUUCUCUUCAGUCCAUUGCUGUUUGCGUCUAGCACUGUCUCACCCUGGAGAGCCGCACACAGUCACCGUGACCUUCAUCACCACCUCAGCACAAGGAGUUACCUGACCUGUUCAUGAGUCUUUUCCAUGCUCGGUAAAGAGAAAAGCAUCCCACAGAUAGUGGAUGUACUACCUAGGUCCAGUCUGUUGAAAUCCAGCUCUGAGCACAGGGCUCUGGAGCUCCCCAGAUGGGAAGGAGCUGCCACCGCUUCAUGCCUGCCCGCUCUCCACAGCCCUACUCCUCGACAUGUCCCUCUGCUCCGUUGGCUCCUGAAGAGACCUCAGAUAUCCUGACUCUCUUUGCUUCUCCAGCACUUUCCCUCCCUUCCCUGAUAUCCCCACCCAGCUGCAGGAAAGUGAUGUUCUCCCAGUGCAUGACCCAAUCUCAUCACGGCAGAGCUGGAAGGGCUCCUGGAGCACUGGCUCCAGGCCACCAGUGGGGAAGGACCGCUCCCUGGACUGGACUGGUGCCAGGCUAGAAAGAGACACAAGCUGUUUUAACUGCAGUAAUUAAAUAAAUCUUCAGCCCAUAUGAGAGGGAACAUCACGUCUUCCCCACUCUCUCCAUACCGCUGCAGUGUGUGCAAGCCAGUGGCAUCACCAGACGAGCACAUCAGUCCUCCCCAAAAGUGGCUGAAGACUUAGACUGGGCUGCUUUAAGGAGUAGUGGGAUGCCCUGCCCUCCCUCCCCGCUCAGCAAAAUGCCCUCUGGUCCUUGCAAAUGGGCUCCAGUCCCACUUUGAGAACAUCACUUCUUGUCUUCAUUUUGAGACACCCCUGCCAGGAGCAAUGCGGGGAAAAGCCUAUCCAGGAGGGAAAAGCUUACCGAGUUUUGGGGGAAAAUGUCUGCAUCCUGUGCUGCCAACAGCCACUGAACUGCCAGCUGUGGUGGCUGGGGACAGAAGGGACCAUUGACCCUAAGCCAUCCUCCUUACAUCCUAGCUCCUGGAGCAGAUCACCUUGACUUGGCAAACAGGGGAGAAGCAACCCAGGGCACGCAGAGGACUGUGAUAGAGGAAGGAUAUGUCCACAGAUGCCUCAGGGCUCUUCAGGGCCGGAUUGACUGUGGGGAUGCAGAGGCGAGAAGGAAGGAUGUGAGGAUGGGGUAAGGAUGACGGAGAGCACCGCGGUGGUCCUGCACCGAGGCGGAGUGGCUGUAACCUCUGCUGAAGCUCACGGGCUGUGCCAAGAGUCUGUGCCAAGUAGCUGUGCCACACCACGAGCAGCCAGACAUGCAGCUGAACCCAAUUCAUUUGACCGAAGGUUGAUCCUGCACGGCUGCAAAUUGCUAAAUAAAACAUGGGGGGGGGGGGCCACUGCUUCUCUCCUGUGACCUUUAAAUCAGCCCAUCCAAGCACUCCUAGGCACAAGUGAUGGCAGAACAAAACUUGGGGUCAAGGGAAGACCUUGGGCAUUUAAGGUGAAACGCAAUUUGGGAAAGUGGUGGUUAUUUGAAACCACCCCCAUUUUAACUCUGUCAGCCAAAAAAAUAAACAAAACUCAGAACAGCAUAAGCUGUCUUUAAAAAUUAAAUGCAUUGAAUCUAGAAUCACAGGCACUAAAAUGCGUUAAUAAUAAAUAGGUCAUGAUUCUGUCCGCCAGGGCUCAGGCUGCUUGGAUUCGCUGGUACAGGUCCUUGGGGUCAUGAAUGCACAAUACUCAGACACUUUUGACAUUCCUGUAAUGCAUUUUACAAGAAAAAAGAAAAAAGAAAAACAGGGUAUGAGGCUGAAAAUCGAGGCAGAACCCCACAAAUGCUUAUGGGAGCUGUGGGAUGAUGAGAAACUCUGCCAGAAGGAGGACAAGUCAUGCGUGGCCCCACUUCAGCUGCGAAGAGGAAGAAGUUUGGCUCUUCCGAGCGCUGUUGGUGCAGGCACCUAACGAGUCUGUGCCUGCGACCUGAGCGGGACGUGUGCUGGGACUCAGGGAGGAGGGCGAACUCUGCCCUCCCCCCGGGAUGACCCAGGCAUCCUGUUGCAGCUGGUGGCCGCAGCCUCUUUGAGCUCCGCGUCGUGGCUCCCAACGACCUUCAGCAGGUCCAGCUGGACCUUGUGCAUCUUCCUGCUGCUUGCACGUCCUCGACGUCUGCAAGCUGCUGCUCGCAGACUGGCCCUCUGUGGCCACCAUGAGUCCUCCCUGAUUGCCAUCCCACCCACCGGUGGGGCUGGAGUCCUCCUCUAACCCCAGGCCAUGUCCUCCAAGCCUCCUAGAUGCCUUCCUGGACUACCUUUCCCUUCACACUCGUGCUCAGUAUCUUCCUGCAGGGUCCUAGCUUGACAAGUGGCAGGAGCUGCUGUCUCCACCGCCUGUUGGGGCAAUCACUGGUGGCUUCAGAUUGGGUCUGUGAAGGCAGCAGAGUGUUAAGGCGUUUCAUAAACUCACCUAGUAUUUGU